GUGGCCGUCACGUGCUCGGAAUCAUCUGACUCGCCAGGGCCGUGGGGGGGGCGGGGGACGGGAGGAGGAGUCACGUGGAGAGCAACCGGGCCGCGCCUCUCGCUAGGCUCCCGGGCCUGGCCCCGGGGCACAGCCCGCUUGCAUCGCCGCCUUACCCUGCGCGCACCGCGUUCCGCACCGCGCCCCCGCCUUCUUCCGGGCUCCGUGAGCACCGGUGGAGAGAUGAUGCUCGGGACAUCUGGCCUGAGACCUCAUUGUCCUCCUCCUCCGGUUGUACUCGCCCAGCCAGUAUUUACUGGUGCCUGCGAUGUCCUGGAAACCCGGGAAGGGACUGGAAACUGAAACCGACUCGGACUCACCAUGCCUCGAUUUGGUGAAGGUUAACAGAGAUUGGACCUUCGCGUAAGUAGAAGUUGGUAGAGUUGAUGUGGAAGGCCUUGAGCACAGAUGAAACGUUCCAGAAUUGGUCGAAGAAGUCCGCAGGAGGUGGUAAUGUGAGAGCCAGUCUAGAAGGAUGGAUGCAGUUGGGAUGUGCAGGAGUAAAGGAGGGGCCAGGAAGAGGACAAAGGCAGUCGUGGAUCGCCGUGAUAACUUGUUAUAGCAGAUAGCUGGACCCUGACUGGAAAGUAAAAGCUACCAAGCUAGAUCAUCUUAUGUUUCUUCAGCAGAUCAGUUGAGUCCAUGGAUGUGGAGCCCAUGCAUACAGAAAACUGACUAUACUUCCAAAGGAGCUCAAUCUUGAAAGGCACCUAUAAUAAAGUUUGUGUGUAAGUAUGGGCAUGAGUACAGGACAACCUUGGGUGUCUGUCCUCUCCUUCCACCUUGAUUUCUGGGAUUGGAUCUUUGUUGUUUUUCACUGCAUAUGCCAGGCUAGCUAGCCUACAAGUUUCUAAAGACUCUCUUGUCUGCCUCCCAUCACUCCAUAGGAGCACUGGGAUUAGACACAUAAUACUGUGCCCAGCUUGGUAUGGAUUCUAGGAAAUUGAGUUCAAGUCCUCACACUCAUGUGGCAAACACUUUACCCACUAAGCCAAGUCUCUUGUUCUGUUUAAAAGUUAAGGGGUGGGAGAAGUAGCUCAGUUGAUGUAGCUCAGUUGGUAGAGUGCUUGCUUGGUGUUUGUGAAACGCUGGGUUGCAGCCCCAGUACUUUAUAUACCAGGCAUGAAUGAUAGCACAUCUGUAAUCAUUGUAGGGAGGUAGAAGCCAAAGGAUCAGAAGUUCAAGGUUAUCCUCUGCUAUAUAUUGAGUUUGAGGCCAGCCUGAGCUACAUGAGACCGUCUCAAUGUUUCAAAAUCAUUCUCACCACUAUUUCAUAAUGGUCCUUCUACUAUUAAAGUCUUUAUUAUGCACCAAAAGCCUUCUCAGCCUGGUGGUGUCACAGACAUGUAUUCCCAGCAUUUGAGCAGAGGCAGGAGGAAUGCUGCAAAUUUGAUGCCAGCUUGAUAUAACAGCAAGUUCUAGGCCAAAAAAGGUCUCUUUCCCAUUAUCCUCAGUUGCUUCAACCAUUUCUUCUCUGGUAUUGUUCCGUAGGAUUGUCCGUGGUGGUAGAAAUGUUUUGAAACUACCAUUCGGGACAGUACCCGCCAGCUACAUGUGCAGAGUACUAGAAAUGUUGCCAGAUUGACUCCAGAGCAGGGUUAAUCGCCAUACGUAGCUAGGGACUCCACACUGAAUAGCUCAGCCUAUUUUGAUCCCCUCUCCCUAUUCUCCCUUCUUCCUUAAAAUGCAUUCAAGCUUGUCAAAUACUUCAAAGGCCUGGCACCCACAGAGCAGUAACUGACCAAUAGCCUUUAGGAAGACUGUUUAGCACCUGGACAGUAUUUCUGUUUUCCAGAAUGGAGUUUAAGUUUCCUUGCAGUAUAAGUGGUUCGCAUUAUCACCAGCACUACCCGCCCCACUAACCUUGUAUUAACAGCAUUUUUUUUUUUUUUCUUUCCAUCUUUUUGAGACACGGUCUCCAUGUAGGUCCCAGCUGGCCUAGAACUCAGAUCCAUUUGCCUCUGAUUAAAGGUGUGUACCACCACACCUGGCAACUGCAUUUUUUAACCUAAAUAUGACUUGAUAUUUUUAACUUUCUCAUUUAGGCCCAGCAGCAUAGGUACUCUAGGUUAUCAUGUUAAACCCUAUUCCAAACUAGUCUGCGAAGCAGCCUUUCCAGUUCUGUGGCACUUACAGAUCAGGCACUACUGUCUGAUCUGUGGGUAGUCCUUUAGUUUGCAAGGUACUUUUAUACCCAUUAUAUUCAGUUUGAUGCUUUCAAUAACCUUAUAAGGGAAGACAGUAUGUGGGGAGAUCUAUAUAUGCCUUUUGGGGGGUGGUCAAACAGGUCUUAUGUAACCCAAGCCAGCCUCUAUGAAGUCAGAUGACCUUGAACUCCUGACAUGCAUCCACUUCUCAAAUGCUAGGUUAUAGGCAUGAACCACCAUGCCUAGAUUUUUUUUUUUAAUGUGCAUGGAGUGCAAGUGUGUACAUGUAGUAGGUCUGAUGACAACUAUGGGGAGUGGGUUCUCUCCUGCCCCCUUCUGGGAUUCAAGGACUAAAUUUGGGUCCUCAGGUCUGUGUACAAGCAUUGCUACCUGCUGAGCCAUCUCUACAGUCCAACAUUUUUUUUUUAUAGAUAAGGCAGCUAUAAAGCAUGGCAGGAACUAAACUGAUAGCUUACAUUUUCUAUCCCAUUAAGCAUCAUCUUGUAUGCAGUCUUCAUCCAAAUCCAUGCUAAAAAUGUUGAAAAGGCCAGGCCUGGUGGCAUGUACCCUUUAAUCCCAGCACUUGGGAGGCAUAUAUGGUCUACAAAGCAAGUUCCAAGCCAGCCAGGGCUACAUGCACUAUGUACAAAAAAGUGGUGUAAGAGACAAUCGUUGACUUGAUGACAUAAAUACUAACACUAGUACCAUGAGAAAAAAGCAAAGGAGGGGACUGGAGAGAUGGCUCAGUGGUUAAGACUAGUUGCUGUUUAUACAGAGGACUCGGGGUUAGGUUUCCAGCACCCACAGCUCACAACCAUUUGUAACUCCACGUUCAAGGGAUCCAGUGCCCUCUUGGCUUCAGCAGGCACCAGGCGUGCAUAUGGUGCACAUACAUAACAUUCAGGAAAAAAUACUAGUACACAUGAAAUAAAAUGAAAUUAUUAAAAAAAAGACAAGGCUUGGUUGCCAGAAAAAAAAAAAAAAAGUAUUUGUCUGUAUCCACAAAGGGACUGCCACACCAACUAUUUAAGUCAUCCUGACUAUCAUGGAACCCUGUUUUUUAUUCUUUUGGCUCUUAGCACAUCCUAACCCACCUUGUAGUUGUUUGUAUACAUGUCUCUCAUUGCCUACUUCCAGUCAUUCAUCUCUAUUGCACCCAGCACUUAGCCUACUGCUGUUCAUGCAGAAGGUACUCAAAUUGGUAAAAGAAAUCUGUCCAACUGGAUUUCUUCCAGUAGUAUCUGGCACUGUCACAAACAAACUUGUGACUAAAAGAGAUACAGACCAUUGGCAGUGUUGCCACCAUGACUGAUUACAAUGCCCUUGUAAAUGACUUGGUCAGAGUUUCCAGCAGGUGCCUGUGUCUCUGCUGGUUGAACCAGCUUUCAUUGGAUGUAUGCUUUGAUCAAAACACAAAGACAGGCUCUGUAACAAUAAGGAUAGAAUACAUGAAAUAGGAUUUAAAUGUCUGUCACUGAGGAAAGUAAGUGAUCAACAGAACACCUGACUAAUUCUUUCCAAAGAAAGGAAAACGUACCAGGUAUACUGGUGAAUGCCUAUAACCCCAGCACUCAGGAGAUGGAGGCAAGAAGAUCAGAAGUUCAGGCCAGCCUGGGCUACCUAAGACCCUCAAGAAAAUUAAAAAAAAAAGGACUAACAAAACAAGUACACUUUACAUUUACAGAUCUUUCAUAUACAUUCUCUCAUUUGACCCUCACAACAACCCUGUGAGGUAGGCAGUACUGAUGUUCUCAAUAGAUGAGGAAAGUCAGUCUGACAUGCCUAGGGUUCUACAGUUAGCAACAGUUUUGUAUAAAUGUCUGUCUUUGGCUUAAAACUUCAGCACCUAACCUCCCUCAUACUUUCCUACCUACUUCACAGGGAUAAUGAAGAAUGAAUGAAUUUAAGGCUCAAAAUAAUACUUUUGA